CAAAAACUCAAUAUUUUUGUAGGGGUUAGCCCAUAGAUUUUGAGAAAAUUUCAAAAAAUAUGACAAUAUUGUUUUAAUGCCUAGUUUCAUCCUGCACUAACAUGUGAUUAUGUUAAAAGAGGUUUGAAGCCUUUGUUCUCUCCGUUUAUCAAGAAAAUAAUAAUUUUAUAUUGGUUAUUCCAUCGAUUUAGGAGGUAUUAUGAAGCUUUAAUAAAUUAAUUGAUAAAAACAAUUGAAUGAUGCUCAUUUACCAUGAAAAUGAUUUUAGCAUACAUUAAUAUAAAUGUAGAAUAUGGUAGAAAUUUUAAAACAACACUAAAGAUUAUAGGCUUUAGUAUAUAAAGUAUUUACCAAAAACUCAAUAUUUUUGUAGGGGUUAGCCCAUAUAUUUUGAGAAAAUUUCAAAAAACAUGACAAUAUUGUUUUAAUGCCUAGUUGCAUCCUGCACUAACAUAUGAUAAUGUUCAAAGAGGUUUAGAGCAUUUUUGCUCUCCGUUUAUCAAGAAAAUAAUAAUUUUAUAUUGGUUAUUCCAUCGGUUUAGGGGGUAUUAUGAAGUUUUACUAAAUUAAUUGAUAAAAACAAUUGAACGAUGCUCAUUUACCAUGAAAAAGAGUUUAGUAUACAUUAAUACAAAUGUAGAAUAUGAUAUGAAUUUUAAAACAACACUAAAGAUUAUAGGCUUCAGUAUAUAAUGUAUUUACCAAAAACUCAAUAUUUUUGUAGGGGUUAGCCCAUAGAUUUUGAGAAAAUUUCAAAAAAAUGACAAUAUUGUUUUAUUGCCUAGUUGCAUCCUGCACUAACAUAUGAUGAUGUUCAAAGAGGUUUGGAGCAUUUGUCGUGUCCGUUUCUCAAGAAAAUAAUAAUUUUAUAUUGGUUAUUCCAUCGAUUUAGGGGGUAUUAUGAAGUUUUACUAAAUUAAU
rnacentral:lncRNA from 1 species